GGUCCCGUAGCCAAGUGGUUAGGCAGUGGCCUGCAAAGCCAUCAACGCCGGUUCGAAUCCGGCCGGGACCU
rnacentral:tRNA from 1 species